rnacentral:ribozyme from 13 species
CGGCCUCCCGGUUGCAGUUCGUGAGGAAGAUCUGGUCGCCUCUGCGAAGGCUGUUCGCCGUGUAGGGCAGCAGCUGGGGCCGCAGGCGCUCCGGCAGGAAGAC